rnacentral:rRNA from 1 species
AGCGAACGUUAGCGGCGGGCCUAACACAUGCAAGUCGAACGCGAAAGGUCUUCGGACUGAGUAGAGUGGCGCACGGGUGAGUAACACGUAGGUAAUCUACCCUUUGGCGGGGGAUAACGUUCCGAAAGGAGCGCUAAUACCGCAUAAGACCACGGAGUCUCCGGACGCUGUGGGAAAAGGUGGCCUCUUCUUGAAAGCUAUCACCGAAGGAUGAGCCUGCGUCCCAUCAGCUAGUUGGUAAGGUAAUGGCUUACCAAGGCGAAGACGGGUAGCUGGUUUGAGAGAAUGAUCAGCCACACUGGCACUGGAACACGGGCCAGACUCCUACGGGAGGCAGCAGUGAGGAAUAUGGGCAAUGGGCGAAAGCCUGACCCAGCCACGCCGCGUGAGUGAUGAAGGCCCUCGGGUCGUAAAGCUCUGUGGAGAGGGACGAAAACCCUGGUUUCAAAUAGGCUCCAGGCUUGACGGUACCUCUUUAGCAAGCACCGGCUAACUCUGUGCCAG